ACAGUUUGGGCAAAUUUGGACACAAUAUUCAAGCUUGAUACUUUCUGAAUUUGGAUUGUGAUCAAAUUUUUGACAUAAUAUAGGUUUCUGACACGAAAUAAAUGUGGUCAAAGAUCUUAUAAACCCAUUGCGCAAUACUGUGCAAUUGAAGAUUUCUUCUUGAAACUUUUCAAAAAUUCAAAAUUUUAAAAAUUUUGAAAAUAAA